UACGGAGGGGGCUAGCGUUGUUCGGAAUUACUGGGCGUAAAGGGCACGUAGGCGGCCAUUCAAGUUAGGUGUGAAAGCCCUGGGCUCAACCUAGGAAUUGCACUUGAUACUGUUUGGCUUGAGUUCGGGAGAGGUGAGUGGAAUUCCCAGUGUAGAGGUGAAAUUCGUAGAUAUUGGGAAGAACACCAGUGGCGAAGGCGGCUCACUGGACCGACACUGACGCUGAGGCGCGAAAGCGUGGGGAGCAAACAGGG
rnacentral:rRNA from 1 species